ACAAGCGGUGGAGCAUGUGGUUUAAUUCGAUGCAACGCGAAGAACCUUACCUGGUCUUGACAUCCCGGAGACCCUUAGGAACUAGGGGUGCUUCCAUCUGGAAGAAUCUGGAGACAGGUGCUGCAUGGCUGUCGUCAGCUCGUGUCGUGAGAUGUUGGGUUAAGUCCCGCAACGAGCGCAACCCUUGCCUUUAGUUGCCAGCAGUUCGGCUGGGCACUCUAAAGGGACUGCCGGUGUUAAACCGGAGGAAGGUGGGGAUGACGUCAAGUCCUCAUGGCCUUUAUGACCAGGGCUACACACGUACUACAAUGGCCGAUACAAAGGGCAGCGACACUGCGAGGUGAAGCCAAUCCCGUAAAAUCGGUCUCAGUCCGGAUUGGAGUCUGCAACUCGACUCCAUGAAGUUGGAAUCGCUAGUAAUCGUGGAUCAGCAUGCCACGGUGAAUACGUUCCCGGGCCUU
rnacentral:rRNA from 1 species